GACGAACGCUGGCGGCGUGCUUAACACAUGCAAGUCGAACGAAGUGGCGGACGGGUGAGUAACGCGUAAUCAACCUGCCCAUCAGAGGGGGACAACAGUUGGAAACGACUGCUAAUCCCGCAUACUGAUGGAGGGGAUGGUGUCUGAUUGGCUAGUUGGAGGGGUAACGGCCCACCAAGGCGAGGGUCAGUAGGCUGGCUUGGAGGGUGAACGGCCAAAUUGGGAACGGGACAAGGGCCAGGAUCCUACGGGAGGCAACAGUGGGGAAACUUCCGCAAUGGAGGAAAGGCUGGCGAAGCAACGGCGCGGGAGUGAUGACGGCCUUCAGGUUGUAAAGCUAUGUUAAUCGGGACGCGGUACCGGAAUAGAAAGCCACGGCUAACUACGUGCCAGCCGCCGCGGUAAUAC
rnacentral:rRNA from 1 species